rnacentral:rRNA from 1 species
AGAGUUUGAUCAUGGCUCAGGAUGAACGCUAGCGGCAGGCUUAACACAUGCAAGUCGAGGGGCAGCAUGUCCAGCAAUGGAUGAUGGCGACCGGCGUAAGGGUGCGUAACGCGUGAGCAACAUGCCCUAUACAGGAGGAUACUCCGGGGAAACCCGGUCUAAUACUCCAUAGUAUUAUUGAGAGGCAUCUCUUAAUAAUUAAAGCUUCGGUGGUAUAGGAUUGGCUCGCGUGACAUUAGCCAGAUGGUGAGGUAACGGCUCACCAUAGCAACGAUGUCUAGGGGUUUUGAGAGGAAGGCCCCCCACACUGGGACUGAGACACGGCCCAGACUCCUACGGGAGGCAGCAGUGAGGAAUAUUGGACAAUGGAUGGAAAUCUGAUCCAGUCAUGCCGCGUGCAGGAAGACUGCCUUAUGGGUUGUAAACUGCUUUUAUACGGGAGCAAUAAGGGUUACGUGUAACCUGAUGAGAGUACUGUAUGAAUAAGGAUCGGCUAACUCCGUGCCAGCCGCCGCGGUAAUUC